UACGUAGGGCGCAAGCGUUGUCCGGAAUUAUUGGGCGUAAAGGGCGCGUAGGCGGCUCGGCACGUCCGUUGUGAAAUCGCCCGGCUCAACUGGGCGGGGUCGGCGGAUACGGCCGAGCUGGAGCAAGCUAGGGGGUAAUGGAAUUCCCGGUGUAGUGGUGGAAUGCGUAGAUAUCGGGAGGAACACCAGUGGCGAAGGCGGUUACCUGGAGCUUUGCUGACGCUGAUGCGCGAAAGCGUGGGGAGCGAUCCGG
rnacentral:rRNA from 1 species